UACGGGGGGGGCAAGCGUUGUUCGGAAUUACUGGGCGUAAAGGGCUCGUAGGUGGCCAACUAAGUCAGACGUGAAAUCCCCAGGCUCAACCUGGGAACUGCGUCUGAUACUGGAUGGCUUGAAUUCGGGAGAGGGAUGCAGAAUUCCAGGUGUAGCGGUGAAAUGCGUAGAUAUCUGGAGGAAUACCGGUGGCGAAGGUGGCAUCCUGGACCGAGAUUGACACUGAGGAGCGAAAGCGUGGGGAGCAAACAGG
rnacentral:rRNA from 1 species